rnacentral:rRNA from 1 species
AAAGGAAUAGACGGGUGCCCGCACAAGCAGUGGAGUAUGUGGAUUAAUUCGACGCAACGCGAAGAACCUUACCAGGGCUUGACAUCCUACUAACGAAGCAGAGAUGCAUUAGGUGCCCCUUGGGGAAAGUAGAGACAGGUGGUGCAUGGUUGUCGUCAGCUCGUGUCGUGAGAUGUUGGGUUAAGUCCCGCAACGAGCGCAACCCUUACGGUUAGUUGCUACGCAAGAGCACUCUAGCCGGACUGCCGUUGACAAAACGGAGGAAGGUGGGGACGAGGUCAAAUCAUCAUGCCCCUUAUGUCCUGGGCUUCACACGUACUACAAUGGCGGUAAACAACGGGUCGCAGAGCCGCGAGGCCGAGCCAAUCCCCAAAAGCCGCCUCAGUUCAGAUUGCAGGCUGCAACUCGCCUGCAUGAAGUUGGAAUUGCUAGUAAUCGCGAAUCAGCAUGUCGCGGUGAAUACGUUCCCGGGCAUUGUACACACCGCCCGU